rnacentral:rRNA from 1 species
UGGGGAAUUUUGGACAAUGGGCGAAAGCCUGAUCCAGCAAUGCCGCGUGUGUGAAGAAGGCCUUCGGGUUGUAAAGCACUUUUGUCCGGAAAGAAAUCCUUGGCUCUAAUACAGUCGGGGGAUGACGGUACCGGAAGAAUAAGCACCGGCUAACUACGUGCCAGCAGCCGCGGUAAUACGUAGGGUGCAAGCGUUAAUCGGAAUUACUGGGCGUAAAGCGUGCGCAGGCGGUUUGCUAAGACCGAUGUGAAAUCCCCGGGCUCAACCUGGGAACUGCAUUGGUGACUGGCAGGCUAGAGUAUGGCAGAGGGGGGUAGAAUUCCACGUGUAGCAGUGAAAUGCGUAGAGAUGUGGAGGAAUACCGAUGGCGAAGGCAGCCCCCUGGGCCAAUACUGACGCUCAUGCACGAAAGCGUGGGGGAGCAAAACAGGAUUAGAUACCCUGGUAGUCCACGCCCUAAACGAUGUCAACUAGUUGUUGGGGGAUUCAUUUCCUUAGUAACGUAGCUAACGCGUGAAGUUGACCGCCUGGGGAGUACGGUCGCAAGAUUAAAACUCAAAUGAAUUGAC